rnacentral:rRNA from 1 species
UUGCCAGCCCGCUCAGUCAGAGUUUGAUCCGUGGCUCAGGACGAACGCUGGCGGCGUGCUUAACACAUGCAAGUCGAACGGUGAAGGGACCAGCUUGCUGGUUCUGGAUGAGUGGCGAACGGGUGAGUAACACGUGAGUAACCUGCCCCCUUCUUCUGGAUAACCGCAUGAAAGUGUGGCUAAUGCGGGAUAUUCUGGGUCUGUCGCAUGAUGGGCCCGGGAAAGAUGCGCCUUUGGGUGUUUUGGUGGGGGAUGGGCUCGCGGCCUAUCAGCUUGUUGGUGGGGUGAUGCCUACCAAGGCGGUGACGGGUAGCCGGCCUGAGAGGGUGGACGGUCACACUGGGACUGAGACACGGCCCAG